rnacentral:pre_miRNA from 1 species
AGUGCAAUUGCUGGGUAUGGUAAUUACAUAUUUAGCUGUAUAUGAAACUGCCAAGCUGUUUUCCAGAGUGACCGUAACAUAUCUCAUUCCCUCCAGCAAU